CAAAGUUCCCUCACGCCACACAACGUUCCUCCAAUCAAAGUUCCCUCACGCCACACAACGUUCCUCCAAUCAAAGUACCCUCACGCCACACAACGUUCCUCCAAUCAAAGUACCCUCACGCCACACAACGCUCCUCCAAUCAAAGUUCCCUCACGCCACACAACGUUCCUCCAAUCAAACAGAACAACAUGUUGUGCUACUCAACAGAAGGAAUAGUGGAAUGUCAGUCGAGGACCUGACCAUGAACUUGGUUCAAUUAAUCCCACUGUCGGUAAUGUUAUGGAUCAUUAUUGAUAAUUAACUACGGCGUUAUAUCUCGUUCCCCAAAGCAUCACUGUCCUAUACGAACACUGAGGAUUACUGCAAAUCACACUUCACAUUGUAUUCAUUCAAUUGGAACGGUCUGAUUAAAAACCCUUAAAUACUACCGAUGGUUGACUCCCAAAUUCUCUAAAAUGGUUUCUGGAGUGGAGUGAACAAAUGGAAUGAGUUUCAUUUCAUUCUUUAUAAUUCUAGUUUCCAUUUACUUUCACAUCUCCAGUCCUGUCAGUUCAGUGGUCGUUUAAAAGUAUUGGUAGACACGAUAAGGUAAAACACAUUUAUUGAUAAUUUUUAACACUUCACAUUGUGACUCCCGGGUGGACGCAGCGAUCGAAGGCACUGCGGAUUGUUCCGGGCUUUGUAACUGUCUACAUCCUUGCCGUUCAUCGCCGUUUCCAUCUUCCCUGCGACCUGCCCUGUCAGGAACUGCGAUGAGUAACAGCGUAGCCGGCGUUGCUACCAUGACAACGACCAUGAGGACAGUAAUGUCUCUCCAUCGCAGGUGAGGGGUCUUUGCAAAUGAACGAAAGCAGUUUUUACAACAAGAAAAUAUCUUAAAGUGUUUUGUCCAAAUACUGCUGGAGUCAACUAAUAAAAGAAUGGACCUGACCAGAGAGGUCCAGAACCUGAAGAACAGGGUGCAGUUCUCCCAGGGUCAGCACGAUGAGGUGAAACAGGAGAACAGCAGUUCUCCCAGGGUCAGCACGAUGAGGUGAAACAGGAGAACAGCAGUUCACCCAGGGUCAGCACAAUGAGGUGAAACAGGAGAACAGCAGUUCACCCAGAGUCAGCACGAUGAGGAGAAACAGGAGAACAGCAGUUCUCCCAGGGUCAGCACGAUGAGGAGAAACAGGAGAACAGCAGUUCACCCAGGGUCAGCACAAUGAGGAGAAACAGGAGAACAGCAGUUCUCCCAGAGUCAGCACGAUGAGGUGAAACAGGAGAACAGCAGUUCUCCCAGGGUCAGCACGAUGAGUAGAAACAGGAGAACAGCAGUUCACCCAGGGUCAGCACGAUGAGGAGAAACAGGAGAACAGCAGUUCUCCCAGGGUCAGCACGAUGAGUUGAAACAGGAGAACAGCAGUUCUCCCAGGGUCAGCACGAUGAGGAGAAACAGGAGAACAGCAGUUCUCCCAGGGUCAGCACGAUGAGGAGAAACAGGAGAACAGCAGUUCUCCCAGGGUCAGCACGAUGAGGAGAAACAGGAGAACAGCAGUUCACCCAGGGUCAGCACGAUGAGGAGAAACAGGAGAACAGCAGUUCUCCCAGGGUCAGCACGAUGAGGUGAAACAGGAGAACAGCAGUUCUCCCAGGGUCAGCACGAUGAGGUGAAACAGGAGAACAGCAGUUCUCCCAGGGUCAGCACGAUGAGGUGAAACAGGAGAACAGCAGUUCUCCCAGGGUCAGCACGAUGAGGUGAAACAGGAGAACAGCAGUUCUCCCAGGGUCAGCACGAUGAGGAGAAACAGGAGAACAGCAGUUCACCCAGGGUCAGCACGGUGAGUUGAAACAGGAGAACAGCAGUUCUCCCAGGGUCAGCACGAUGAGUUGAAACAGGAGAACAGCAGUUCACCCAGGGUCAGCACGAUGAGGAGAAACAGGAGAACAGCAGUUCACCCAGGGUCAGCACGAUGAGGAGAAACAGGAGAACAGCAGUUCUCCCAGGGUCAGCACGAUGAGGUGAAACAGGAGAACAGCAGUUCUCCCAGGGUCAGCACGAUGAGGAGAAACAGGAGAACAGCAGUUCUCCCAGGGUCAGCACGAUGAGGAGAAACAGGAGAACAGCAGUUCUCCCAGGGUCAGCACGAUGAGUAGAAACAGGAGAACAGCAGUUCUCCCAGGGUCAGCACGAUGAGGAGAAACAGGAGAACAGCAGUUCUCCCAGGGUCAGCACGAUGAGUUGAAACAGGAGAACAGCAGUUCACCCAGGGUCAGCACGAUGAGGUGAAACAGGAGAACAGCAGUUCACCCAGGGUCAGCACGAUGAGGAGAAACAGGAGAACAGGAGUUUAUAUAUACACACACACACUCUAAAUAAAAAGUGGCACAGUGCAUUAGGAAUGGACACAGUGAACAAAACAUUAAGAACACCUUCCUAAUAUUGAGUUGCACCCUCUUUCCCUCAGAACAGCCUCAAUUCAUCAGGGACAUGGACUCUACAAGGUGUCCAAAGCGUUCCACAGGGAUGCUGGCCCAUGUUGACUCUACAAGGUGUAGAAAGCGUUCCACAGGGAUGCUGGCCCAUGUUGACUCUACAAGGUGUCUAAAGCGUUCCACAGGGAUGCUGGCCCAUGUUGACUCUACAAGGUGUCUAAAGCAUUCCACAGGGAUGCUGGCCCAUGUUGACUCUACAAGGUGUGGAAAGCGUUCCACAGAGAUGCUGGCCCAUGUUGACUCUACAAGGUGUUGAAAGCGUUCCACAGAGAUGCUGGCCCAUGUUGACUCUACAAGGUGUUGAAAGCGUUCCACAGGGAUGCUGGCCCCAUGUUGACUCUACAAGGUGUCUAAAGCGUUCCACAGGGAUGCUGGUCCAUGUUGACUCCAGGGAUGCUGGUCCAUGUUGACUCUACAAGGAGUAGAAAGCGUUCCACAGGGAUGCUGGCCCAUGUUGUCUCCAAUGCUUCCCACAGUUGUGUCAAGUUGGCUGGAUGUCCUUUGGGUGGUGGACCGUUCUCGAUAAACACAGGAAAGUGUUGCAGUUCUUGACAGAACCAGUGUGCCUGGCACCUACUACCCUACCCCGUUCAAAGGGCACUUAAAUCUUUGAUCAUUUACCCUCUCAAAGGCAUCCAUACACAAUCUAUGUCUCCAGGCUUAAAAAGCCUUCUUUAAACUUGUCUCCUCACCUUCAUC